AGUGAACGCUGGCGGUAGGCCUAACACAUGCAAGUCGAACGGCAGCACAGUAAGAGCUCGCUCUUACGGGUGGCGAGUGGCGGACGGGUGAGGAAUACAUCGGAAUCUACUUUUUCGUGGGGGAUAACGUAGGGAAACUUACGCUAAUACCGCAUACGACCUACGGGUGAAAGCAGGGGAUCUUCGGACCUUACGCGAUUGUAUGAGCCGAUGUCGGAUUAGCUAGUUGGCGGGGUAAAGGCCCACCAAGGCGACGAUCCGUAGCUGGUCUGAGAGGAUGAUCAGCCACACUGGAACUGAGACACGGUCCAGACUCCUACGGGAGGCAGCAGUGGGGAAUAUUGGACAAUGGGCGCAAGCCUGAUCCAGCCAUACCGCGUGGGUGAAGAAGGUCUUCGGGUUGUAAAGCCCUUUUGUUGGGAAAGAAAAGCAGCAGGUUAAUACCCCGCUGUUCUGACGGUACCCAAAGAAUAAGCACCGGCUAACUUCGUG
rnacentral:rRNA from 1 species